CGAAUGCUGACAUAAGUAACGAUAAAGCGGGUGAAAAGCCCGCUCGCCGGAAGACCAAGGGUUCCUGUCCAACGUUAAUCGGGGCAGGGUGAGUCGACCCCUAAGGCGAGGCCGAAAGGCGUAGUCGAUGGGAAACAGGUUAAUAUUCCUGUACUUGGUGUUACUGCGAAGGGGGGACGGAGAAGGCUAUGUUGGCCGGGCGACGGUUGUCCCGGUUUAAGCGUGUAGGCUGGUUUUCCAGGCAAAUCCGGAAAAUCAAGGCUGAGGCGUGAUGACGAGGCACUACGGUGCUGAAGCAACAAAUGCCCUGCUUCCAGGAAAAGCCUCUAAGCAUCAGGUAACAUCAAAUCGUACCCCAAACCGACACAGGUGGUCAGGUAGAGAAUACCAAGGCGCUUGAGAGAACUCGGGUGAAGGAACUAGGCAAAAUGGUGCCGUAACUUCGGGAGAAGGCACGCUGAUAUGUAGGUGAAGUCCCUCGCGGAUGGAGCUGAAAUCAGUCGAAGAUACCAGCUGGCUGCAACUGUUUAUUAAAAACACAGCACUGUGCAAACACGAAAGUGGACGUAUACGGUGUGACGCCUGCCCGGUGCCGGAAGGUUAAUUGAUGGGGUUAGCGCAAGCGAAGCUCUUGAUCGAAGCCCCGGUAAACGGCGGCCGUAACUAUAACGGUCCUAAGGUAGCGAAAUUCCUUGUCGGGUAAGUUCCGACCUGCACGAAUGGCGUAAUGAUGGCCAGGCUGUCUCCACCCGAGACUCAGUGAAAUUGAACUCGCUGUGAAGAUGCAGUGUACCCGCGGCAAGACGGAAAGACCCCGUGAACCUUUACUAUAGCUUGACACUGAACAUUGAGCCUUGAUGUGUAGGAUAGGUGGGAGGCUUUGAAGUGUGGACGCCAGUCUGCAUGGAGCCGACCUUGAAAUACCACCCUUUAAUGUUUGAUGUUCUAACGUUGACCCGUGAUCCGGGUUGCGGACAGUGUCUGGUGGGUAGUUUGACUGGGGCGGUCUCCUCCUAAAGAGUAACGGAGGAGCACGAAGGUUGGCUAAUCCUGGUCGGACAUCAGGAGGUUAGUGCAAUGGCAUAAGCCAGCUUGACUGCGAGCGUGACGGCGCGAGCAGGUGCGAAAGCAGGUCAUAGUGAUCCGGUGGUUCUGAAUGGAAGGGCCAUCGCUCAACGGAUAAAAGGUACUCCGGGGAUAACAGGCUGAUACCGCCCAAGAGUUCAUAUCGACGGCGGUGUUUGGCACCUCGAUGUCGGCUCAUCACAUCCUGGGGCUGAAGUAGGUCCCAAGGGUAUGGCUGUUCGCCAUUUAAAGUGGUACGCGAGCUGGGUUUAGAACGUCGUGAGACAGUUCGGUCCCUAUCUGCCGUGGGCGCUGGAGAACUGAGGGGGGCUGCUCCUAGUACGAGAGGACCGGAGUGGACGCAUCACUGGUGUUCGGGUUGUCAUGCCAAUGGCACUGCCCGGUAGCUAAAUGCGGAAGAGAUAAGUGCUGAAAGCAUCUAAGCACGAAACUUGCCCCGAGAUGAGUUCUCCCUGACCCUUUAAGGGUCCUGAAGGAA
rnacentral:rRNA from 1 species